rnacentral:rRNA from 1 species
UACGGAGGGUGCGAGCGUUGUCCGGAAUCACUGGGCGUAAAGGGCGCGUAGGUGGCGCGGGCAGUCAACGGUGAAAGUUCGGGGCUCAACCCUGAAUCGGCCGUCGAUACUCCCGGGCUUGAGCACUGUAGAGGCAGAUGGAAUUCCGGGUGUAGCGGUGGAAUGCGUAGAGAUCCGGAAGAACACCGGUGGCGAAGGCGGUCUGCCGGGCAGUAGCUGACACUGAGGCGCGACAGCGUGGGGAGCAAACAGG